UGCAAAAAAAUCUCCAAAUAAAUCGACGUUUCGACCCCUAAAGGGUCUUUUUCAAGUCUUUUUUAGGGGUCGAAACGUUGAUUUAUUUGGAGAUUUUUUUG